rnacentral:rRNA from 1 species
AGAGUUUGAUCAUGGCUCAGAGCGAACGCUGGCGGCAGGCCUAACACAUGCAAGUCGAGCGCCCGUGGCAACACGGGAGCGGCAGACGGGUGAGUAACACGUGGGAACGUGCCCUUCGGUUCGGAAUAACCCGGGGAAACCCGGAUUAAUACCGGAUACGUCCGCAAGGAGAAAGAUUUAUCGCCGAAGGAUCGGCCCGCGUCCGAUUAGCUAGUUGGUGAGGUAACGGCUCACCAAGGCGACGAUCGGUAGCUGGUCUGAGAGGAUGAUCAGCCACACUGGGACUGAGACACGGCCCAGACUCCUACGGGAGGCAGCAGUGGGGAAUAUUGGACAAUGGGCGCAAGCCUGAUCCAGCCAUGCCGCGUGGGUGAUGAAGGCCCUAGGGUUGUAAAGCCCUUUCGGCGGGGAAGAUAAUGACGGUACCCGCAGAAGAAGCCCCGGCCAACUUCGUGCCAGCAGCGGCGGUAAUUC